rnacentral:rRNA from 1 species
UACGAAGGGGGCUAGCGUUGCUCGGAAUUACUGGGCGUAAAGGGAGCGUAGGCGGAUAGUUUAGUCAGAGGUGAAAGCCCAGGGCUCAACCUUGGAAUUGCCUUUGAUACUGGCUAUCUUGAGUACGGAAGAGGUAUGUGGAACUCCGAGUGUAGAGGUGAAAUUCGUAGAUAUUCGGAAGAACACCAGUGGCGAAGCGAACGAU